UGGAAGAUGAUGGAAUUAGCUACAGAAAUAUCAAUGAUUCGUUAAAAAUAAUUGGGGGUGAUUGUUGUUAAUAUUGAUUAGUUGUAAAAAAAAAUGUGUAGAAUCAAAAGGGUUAAGAAGUUUGAGAGGUAAAAAGAAAACGAUAACCAAAAAGGAGUAGUGAUUAGAGAGAGAGAGAGAGAGAGAGAGAGUAUGCAUAUGUAUAUAUACCUGAAGGUGAGGAGAAGGGGAGAUUCCAAGAGGGCUUAUUGAGAGGUAAGUUAGAAGGGGGAGGAGGAGGAGGAUGAGCAGAGGAAGAAGAAGAAGAAGAGAGAAGAUUAAGGUGGAGAGGACGAGAGAAGCUCAAGGAGAGACUCAAACCCAGAUCUUCCUUGUCAACCAUCAUUUCUGCAACUGGGUUUAAGCUUGUAUAGUGUAUGAUUAUUAUAAGAAAGAGAGAAGGAAUUG
rnacentral:lncRNA from 1 species